CACAUAGUGACUUUGUACAAAGAGCACAGGAUGGAAAAGGAGGAGACUUCAUGGUGGACAAACCUGACAAACCCUACCUGUGCCAGGUGGUCAAGUUCAAUAUCAAGAGUGCUAAGUUGCCAUACAGUUAUGUGUUCUUGCUAUGAUGUGAUAAGAAUUAUAGCUUACCUCCAUGGUCUUCCUCUCCAAAAUCUCAUAACCCCACCAUAAGAAAAAUACCAGACGCACUCCAACUGAGCAACCUUCUGCAAAAUGCAUGACAAGUACUCCCCUAAACUAUCAAAAAAGCUGUCAUUCAAAACAUAGUCAAGAGACUGUGACUGCUUUUGAUUCUGAAAAACUUUCAGAGUCAAGAGGACCUGCAGGGAACAGGAUAAUUAAAUGCAAUGUGAUAUCUUGGAUGGGAUCCUAAAACAGAGAGAAAAUGAGAUGCUACUGGCUUUUGGAUGCUUCAAACUGAGGAAAGGAGAGAGGAUAAAAAGCAGGUGAAGGAAGAUGCACUAACAGUAUGAGCCAAUGAAGUGUUUGGAAUAAGAAAGCCCCUCAGACUUGGGCCUAGAUACAAGCAGGAAGAACAAGGAGGAAAGAAGCACAAGCAAAAGUCAGGCUCAAGGAAAAGACUGCAUGAUUCAAAGAGAUUACAAGACAAUACCUGGAAAUGGAAAGCAAGGAAGUAUAAAGUAACAAGUAUUACAGAGAUGACAGAGGACACUAGAAGCACCAGCAAAUAAAGCAAGUAUAGGGCCGGGGAUUUAGCUCAGUGGUGCCACCGCCUGCCUCGCAAGAGCAAGGUCCCCAGUUCGAUCCAAUACCAAAAACAAAACAAAACAAAAAAAAGAGCAAAGAUCCCUAAGUCCUUUCCUCUUGGCCUCUCAAUUCAAUCUCACAAUGAGGAAAGAGAAAAGACAUAGAAAUUAUUAGGGAGAAUAUAUGAAUAUAUGACACAGCGAUCCAACAUAUAGGCAGAUGAAACCCUGGAGGUGGGUUUCAAAUCAUGAGUCCACCUCCUACCAAUUGUGCCUUGUUACCAAAGAUGAUGCACCUUGCUGUGAUUCUUUCGUUAUUAGGAAAGUUAGGAUAAAUAUAAUACGUAGCUCAUAAAACUGUUCAAAAGAUGAACAUGUCAAUUCACAUACUGCUAUUGUCCUUAGCAUAUAAGAAUGGAACUAAAAACUGUGCUGAAAAUAUGAAAAAUCUUUUCUGUAAUAAAUUUGUCAAAGCUCAGAUAGAAAAUGCACAGUAUCUGGGAGAGAAAUAACUGAAACAGAAUGGUCAACAAUGCAACACAUUCUGACAUUCAAGAAUAAAGCAAAGAAUUGUGUAUGCAUGAGAAAUGAAAAGCAAGUCACCUACAAAAAAAGAGAGAGAAAACAUCAGGAUGGCUUCAGAAUUCUCUGUUCUCAGUGCUGAAAAAAACCUCAGGAGUUAAUAUAUUUUUUAAAUUGGCAGCAUUGGGAGGGGGAGGAGAGGAAAAUAUAAUAAAUAACUGACACCCAGCAGAGCUUCUAUUCAGGUGUAAAGGCAAGGGACAGAGUCUCAUGCAUGCAAGAAUUCAGGGAUACAGCACUUAAGAGGUAUUGAGAAAC